GAUGAACGCUGGCGGCGUGCCUAAUACAUGCAAGUCGAGCGAACAGACGAGAGUGCUUGCACUCUCUGACGUUAGCGGCGGACGGGUGAGUAACACGUGGGUAACCUACCUAUAAGACUGGGAUAACUUCGGGAAACCGGAGCUAAUACCGGAUAAUAUUUAGCUUCGCAUGAAGCAAUAGUGAAAGACGGUUCUGCUGUCACUUAUAGAUGGACCCGCGGUGUAUUAGCUAGUUGGUGAGGUAACGGCUCACCAAGGCAACGAUACAUAGCCGACCUGAGAGGGUGAUCGGCCACACUGGGACUGAGACACGGCCCAGACUCCUACGGGAGGCAGCAGUAGGGAAUCUUCCGCAAUGGACGAAAGUCUGACGGAGCAACGCCGCGUGAGUGAAGAAGGUUUUCGGAUCGUAAAACUCUGUUGUAAGGGAAGAACAAGUACGUUAGUAACUGAACGUACCUUGACGGUACCUUACCAGAAAGCCACGGCUAACUACGUG
rnacentral:rRNA from 1 species